AACGAGGCCGACCUGCGGCUGAGUUACCUGCGGAGGGAUCAUUACUGAGUGUAAAAACUCCCAAACCCAUUGUGAACAUACCACUGUUGCUUCGGCGGAUACGCCCCGGGCGCGCUCUUCACAGGGCGUGCCCCGGAACCAGGCGCCCGCCGGGGGACCGAAACUCUUGUUUUCUUAGGAUCUCUGAGUGUGAUUAUUAAAUAAAUCAAAACUUUCAACAACGGAUCUCAGAUCGGAAGA
rnacentral:misc_RNA from 1 species